rnacentral:rRNA from 1 species
UGGGGAAUAUUGGACAAUGGGCGCAAGCCUGAUCCAGCAAUGCCGCGUGUGUGAAGAAGGCCUUCGGGUUGUAAAGCACUUUUAUCAGGAGCGAAACGCUGUCGGCUAAUACCCGGCGGAACUGACGGUACCUGAGGAAUAAGCACCGGCUAACUUCGUGCCAGCAGCCGCGGUAAUACGAAGGGUGCAAGCGUUAAUCGGAAUUACUGGGCGUAAAGCGUGCGUAGGCGGUUUCUUAAGUCUGCUGUGAAAUCCCCGGGCUCAACCUGGGAAUGGCAGUGGAUACUGGGAGGCUAGAGUGUGUCAGAGGGUGGUGGAAUUCCCGGUGUAGCGGUGAAAUGCGUAGAGAUCGGGAGGAACAUCAGUGGCGAAGGCGGCCACCUGGGACAACACUGACGCUGAGGCACGAAAGCGUGGGGAGCAAACAGGAUUAGGAUACCCUGGUAGUCCACGCCCUAAACGAUGCGAACUGGAUGUUGGUCUCAACUCGGAGAUCAGUGUCGAAGCUAACGCGUUAAGUUCGCCGCCUGGGGAGUACGGUCGCAAGACUGAAACUCAAAUGAAUUGAC